AACCCAAAGCUGGCGACCGGCGCACGGGUGAGUAACACGUAUCCAACCUGCCUCAUACUCGGGGAUAGCCUUUCGAAAGAAAGAUUAAUAUCCGAUAGCAUAUAUUUCCCGCAUGGGUUUUAUAUUAAAGAAAUUCGGUAUGAGAUGGGGAUGCGUUCCAUUAGUUUGUUGGGGGGGUAACGGCCCACCAAGACUACGAUGGAUAGGGGUUCUGAGAGGAAGGUCCCCCACAUUGGUACUGAGACACGGACCAA
rnacentral:rRNA from 1 species